GAUGAACGCUGGCGGCGUGCCUAAUACAUGCAAGUCGAGCGAACAGACGAGGAGCUUGCUCCUCUGACGUUAGCGGCGGACGGGCGAGUAACACGUGGAUAACCUACCUAUAAGACUGGGAUAACUUCGGGAAACCGGAGCUAAUACCGGAUAAUAUAUUGAACCGCAUGGUUCAAUAGUGAAAGACGGUUUUGCUGUCACUUAUAGAUGGAUCCGCGCCGCAUUAGCUAGUUGGUAAGGUAACGGCUUACCAAGGCAACGAUGCGUAGCCGACCUGAGAGGAUGAUCCGCCACACUGGAACUGAGACACGGUCCAGACUCCUACGAGAGGCAGCAGUAGGGAAUCUUCCGCAAUGGGCGAAAGCCUGACGGAGCAACGCCGCGUGAGUGAUGAAGGUCUUCGGAUCGUAAAACUCUGUUAUUAGGGAAGAACAAAUGUGUAAGUAACUAUGCACGUCUUGACGGUACCUAAUCAGAAAGCCACGGCUAACUACGUG
rnacentral:rRNA from 1 species